rnacentral:rRNA from 1 species
GACGAACGCUGGCGGCGUGCCUAAUACAUGCAAGUAGGACGCAGUUGCGAACGGGUGAGUAACGCGUAGGUAACUACCUAUUAGAGGGGGAUAACUAUUGGAAACGAUAGCUAAUACCGCAUACUAGUAGAUGGACCUGCGUUGUAUUAGCUAGUAGGUAGGGUAAUGGCCUACCUAGGCAACGAUACAUAGCCGAGCUGAGAGGGUGGUCGGCCAAAACGGGACUGAGAAACGGCCCAGAAUCCUACGGGAGGCAGCAGUAGGGAAUGUUCGGCAAUGGGGGGAAACCUGACCGAGCCACGCCGCGGGAUUGGAGGAGGUUUUCGGGUCGUAAAGCUAUGUUGUUAAGGAAGCGGUACUUAACCAGAAAGGGACGGCUAACUACGUGCCAGCCGCCGCGGUAAUAC